rnacentral:lncRNA from 1 species
CCGACAGCUGAAGUGGAAAAACCGGGAACAUUUUGUGAUAAAUCAAGAAGUUUCUGACAAAGGACAUUGAGAUAAUGGCAACACGAUCUCGAGAGAGUGAAAGUACUGAAACUAUCUGAGGGGGUCACCUUUUGCGAGUUGAAGCAAACACUGACAGGCUGAUAAGUAUAUGAGCAUGCGAUACUUCUACGUAACCAUAGCAGAGUUUUCAGUUUAAACUGUUAAAAAGAACAUCUCACAAGCUAUAAUCAUAAAUGAAACUAUCGAAAUGUAGGUCUAAAAUAAAAGCAAGGGAAGAACAACCCUCGAUUCCUGAAUAUGCUUCUUUAAAAGCAUUUGGGGAUUCGGUUUAGGAAGUGAGUUGCCCUUCUCUGACUAUUUUAAAGGAUGUUGUGAUGUAGACCAGUAGGCCUAUAGUAGAUGACGAAUGAAUGCACUUCGUACCGCCAGGAAAACGUUAGAGAAGCAGAGUUAUCCGCCCUGCCCCAACAAGGCAGUCGAAUGAUGGAUCAACAACUUCAAAAGACCCCACAGUGGGGGAGGGGACUGUUUGUGUCAGGUUGUAUACGCAUGGCCUAGACAGGUUAACAAAAAUGUCUUAACAUUUUGAUUUGCUUUUCGUGUCCCUCGUUUAUGCGAGCUGGGCUAUAGAAAGACAGCUUUUAGACGAGGCUCGAGUAAAUGUGAGCCGCUUUUAGGGUGGGAAGUUCCAUUAUCCCUUAACCCCCCUCCCCGAUUUUCUGUGGUAGCGACAUUUUUAAACAAAUAACCCACAAAAAGAUAUUCAAUUUUUCUACUGCCUGUGCUUUUGUAACUUUUCUUUAAUUUUGUAAAAAUGUCUUUUGUAGGGGUUUAAAUAAUUGGCGAGAACUUGGCUGUCGAAAAGAAGGAAGGCGCCAAAUACGUUACGAACGAAUUUGCAUACGAGCGAAGCUAGCAAAAUCGCCCUCUGGCUAAAAACUCAAAAAGAAAACAUCAGAAACAAAAACAAAAGCCGACGCGUAGAUUUGGCAUGACGAAUUCGAUGUUUUUCGUGAACAGAUCAAUUCAAGGCCAAUCGAAACUUGUCACACAAGCUAACGGUGCGUUCGCUUGUCUACAACGAAGCACAUUCGACACGAUAGCUACAAGUUAGAAUCUGGCCAAAUGUAUUGCACUCACGCAUUCGAAAAAAGCAUUUUGAAGUGUUUGAAUCGAUGACUUUUAAAGUCAUGCAAAUUUGAUUAAAAAUUGCUCAACAAACCUAAUUUACCCUGUUAACCAUUUUCAAUAGUUUUUUACGAACGAAAACUGUUAACCAUAGAUUAUCUUUCUGAAUAGGUCUAUCACAAACCCCGCUCGAUGUUCGUUACCCCUAACCGACGAAAACGCAACCCUAAAAUGAACAGUGCGAUCAUAAAACCUAAGGGUUCUGCGUUGCGAACGAACGAAUUUGUGCUGAUGUCAACAGUGUAACGGAGUCUCCGAAUCGACGCAUCAAACUACCGACUUCAUUAUUUAUUGCAUUUGAGAUUUAUGCAUUCUUGAAACAUGAGUUGCAACGUUCAGGAGAAUCAUUUCACUAGAAUGAAUGUAUAUUCUUAUUUCGCUUACCAUGCAAUGCUAUAGCCUAAUAUAAAGUUCGCAAGACUGGCCAACUGAUGAAUCCCCUUAACUCAUUUUACACCAUCCGCCGUUAUUUGAAUAUUGACUUGAUUUAUGCAAGAGUCAUCUAAACCCCGAAAACAAGUUUCAAGCGAAACUCAAUGACAAUGUAAAAUAGCAGUCUGCCAGUUGCCUUCUUAGAGUUAUCACCUAAAAUCCUGUGUUUCUCCCUUCUUCGCAAACACAGUUUUGACUUCCCUCAUAGGUCUAUAACAAUUUGUUCCAUUUUAAAAUCGUAUUUUCUUCGUAGCUUCAUCAUUUUAUCGUGCCCUACCGUUUAUUUUAUUCACCCUAUUUUGAUGAUGCGCCUUCUUAUUUUCUUCUUUCACGGCAACGUGCGAUGACCUGACGGAGAAAAGAAAAAUUUCCCAGCAACAUCAGCAAAUUUUCUGGUUUUGUUUGAGUUGCGACGAUGCCAAAGGAUCUGAAUUAAAAAGCGCUCAUCCAGUCGUGCAAUAGCUUGGCAGCCUGCUUCUUAUAGGCCUACUCUUAUAGGAAUAGGUCCUAUUUUAUUGCUAUUUAUUUUUGACAAGAGAGAAAUGAGGGUAGCUGUUCUUCUUAUAGCAUUCGCCUCACUAGCUCUUUGUUCCUAUUUUGUCGACGCUGGCUGGCCAAUUGCAGAUAAUGGAAAAGUUUGUCGAUCAUAAUGUUUGAAAAACUUCAGAUUGGACUACUUCACAUGCGCUACUAACUUGUUUGAGCCGUGGGAGAAAUAUGCAAUCCAGCACGAGUAAUAGGGAAUGGAAAAUCCGUGUUAACGAAAACCCAACUAGAAUUCUGCAUGAGCGAGUGAAACACACAAGGAUAGGCCUACUCUUACACCUGAUGCUGGACGCACACGAGCUGGGACUAUUGCGAACCAAGUUCGACUAGGGUUCGGCAACAUAUAACCAGAUGGGGUGAAUAUUGCACAGUUUUUGGUGAAAAAAUUAUUGCACAAAAAGCGACGGCUCGUUCAUGCAACGUAGACUGCUUCGUUUCUUGAUUUUGGCCGUCGGCCGUGGACGAUCAGUCUCUGAAUUUUUCGGCUUGGUGUACGACGUUUGAAGCGCGUUGAUCAUCACCUGGCGUCAAGUGGUCAUCGUGUACGAUGGAGUGUAAGAUCUGCAACUGGUCCAGAUGUUUCAGCCCGCGUUGGUCUUCGCGGUUGCCAAGGUGGUCGGAAGUCACCGUGAUUUUUAGUUCCUUUGUUUCAUCACUUGCCGACGUGGUAACGGCUGCGUUUUCGCAAAUUGGUUCAGGAGGAGGGAUAGAAAAAAAGCAACUUACAGUCGUUUGAUGUUCCGACGCUGAUGCUGGUAUGACAGAUUCAUCCGCAAAUAUGCUUUUUCAAUAUUGGUGAUUUUCCUUGUCUUCGUGUUUUUCCGGGUGGGAAGAGGCUUUCUCAAUAGUGACUCGGCUUGCGACAAUAGAUGCAAUAUUUUAAUUUUCAGUGUUUUACUUACAUAUUUUUUUAGUUUCUUGAAUUUCUCCAACCCAUGGCCUACUAUAAUCACGGCCCAUCAGCUUGCUAUCUCUCUGUAGCCAAAAAUGAAUUGGGAUCGCUCCGCCCAUUCAUAGCCAGAGGGUCGUAGGCCCUGUCAAACUUUUCCAAAUUCCACUGCUUCUUUCCACCUUUUAAAAUGUUUUUAAAUUCUGCCAUUGCCGUGCUUCUGACGUCAUGAUUCAAAUCGCUCAGCCAGGGUGUUUGAGACAUAACGCCAACAAAAUGCAAAUAAUAACAAGUAAAAUGGGAAGCAAGUACUUUUCAGAGAGCUAGACCAAGCCGGGCACUGUCUGAGGCCCAGCACACAAUGUGUAAUUUAUUUCCACAGCGGCUGAGGAUCUGGGGGAGCCAACUGAAGUAGAUUAGUAGGAACAGGAACUUACUUUUAGUAAUGGGCAAAGCAUUGAAUUUUACUUACGAACAACAACAACAUCGGCCACGCCUAUUACCCCCCAGAAUUAUGGGGGGCUCUUUAGGCCAAAUUUGCUAUUACCCCCCAUAAUUCUGUGGGGCUCUAGUGAUCGAAUAUGCUAUUACCCCACAGAAAACGGAGUAGAAUUUACCACUAGGUAUAGAUAUAAUUACUGUUAUUGAAUUUAUGUUGUCAAAUAUUUACGGCAAAAAUAAUAAAUACACUAAAUUUGACAAUCA